rnacentral:ncRNA from 1 species
UUCUGGGAGAAUUUAGAGGUUGAGAGCUCUUUCUUGAGUCGGUGGAUGGUGGACCAUGUCCGCUCUUAGUUGGUGGAGCAAUUAGUCUGGUUGAUUCCGAUAACGAACGAGACUCUAACCUAUUAAAUAGGUGCGUGGUUCUCUGCAACUUGCACCCUUCUCAGAGGAACAAGCGGCGCCUAGCCCCAUGAAACAGAGCAAUAACAGGUAUGUGAUGCCCUUAGAU